AGAGACAGGAUGUUGCUAUGUUUCCCAGGCUGUUCUCAAACUCCUGGGCUCAAACAAUCCUCCCACCUGGACCUCCCAAAGCACUGGGAUUACAAAGAGACGAGGUUUCCCCAUGUUGACCGGGCACUCCUGGCCUCAAGUGAUCCACCCCCGUUGGCUUCCCAAAUGCUAGGAUUACAAGUGUAAGCCACAGCACCUGGCCUCAUGCGUGUUCUUUUUCUUUUGGAGAGAGUCUCACUUUGUCACCAUGCUGGAGUGCAGUGGCACAAUCUUGGUUCACUGCAACCUCCCAGGUUCCAGUGAUUCUCCUGCCUCAGCCUCCCGAGUAGCUGGGACUACAGGCGCACGCCACCAUGCCCAGCUAAUUUUUGUAUUUUUAGUAGAUACGGGGUUCCACCAUGUUGGCCAAGUUGGUCUCGAUCUCCUGACCUCAUGAUCUGCCCGCCUCAUCCUCCCAAAGUGCACGAGCCACUGCGCCCAGCCUUACAUGUACUUUUUAUACAUUAUUCCAUGUGAAAAUAAAGAUCAUCC
rnacentral:lncRNA from 1 species